GAUGGACGCUGGCGGCGUGCCUAAUACAUGCAAGUCGAGCGAACGGACGAGAAGCUUGCUUCUCUGAUGUUAGCGGCGGACGGGUGAGUAACACGUGGAUAACCUACCUAUAAGACUGGGAUAACUUCGGGAAACCGGAGCUAAUACCGGAUGAUAUUUUGAACCGCAUGGUUCAAAAGUGAAAGACGGUCUUGCUGUCACUUAUAGAUGGAUCCGCGCUGCAUUAGCUAGUUGGUAAGGUAACGGCUUACCAAGGCAACGAUGCAUAGCCGACCUGAGAGGGUGAUCGGCCACACUGGAACUGAGACACGGUCCAGACUCCUACGGGAGGCAGCAGUAGGGAAUCUUCCGCAAAGGGCGAAGGCCUGACGGAGCAACGCCGCGUGAGUGAUGAAGGUCUUCGGAUCGUAAAACUCUGUUAUUAGGGAAGAACAUAUGUGUAAGUAACUGUGCACAUCUUGACGGUACCUAAUCAGAAAGCCACGGCUAACUACGUG
rnacentral:rRNA from 1 species